rnacentral:ncRNA from 1 species
UUGAGCCGUAUGCGGGGAAACUCGCACGUACGGUUCUUAGGGGGGGGGGCUCAUGCAAGUGAGCCCUCCCACCCGAC